CACGUGCGGGGUCAAGGGUAGCGUGACGUUUGACGUAGCAGAGCUUGCGGGUUUGAGGCUUGGAGCGAUGUCUUCUAUUUUCCCCACUGUCUCACGCAUGUUCGUCAACUGUCGCGUGGCUUUCACCGCCAGGCCUAUACACAGAUUGCUUACUUCCGGAAAGCAGUAUGGUUACAUAGAGGUUAGCAAACGUGGAGAGAGGCAAAAUGUCGGUCUUCUACGCUUGAACCGUCCGAAAGCGUUGAAUGCUUUGUGUGCCGGUCUGAUGGAAGAAUUGAUCAAUGCAGUGGAGGAUUUCGAAGCAGACAAUGCCGUUGGUGCUAUUGUGUUGACCGGAAGUGAUAAAGCCUUUGCAGCCGGUGCUGAUAUUGCAGAAAUGGAUAAGUAUGAUUUUAAAGAUGUCUACAACAAAAAUUUUCCCGUUCGAUGGACCGAGUUUUAUCCCAAGAGAAAGCCUCUGAUUGCUGCUGUGAACGGAUUUGCGCUGGGUGGUGGUUGUGAGGUGGCAAUGAUGUGUGAUAUUAUCUAUGCUGGUGAAAAGGCUCAAUUUGGACAGCCAGAAAUCUUACUGGGAACUAUACCAGGAUCUGGAGGGACUCAAAGACUAGUGAGAGCUAUUGGGAAAUCAAAGGCUAUGGAAAUGAUUUUAACUGGAAACAGGCUGUCUGCCCAAGAAGCCCAAGAAGCUGGUCUAGUAAGCAAGGUGUUUCCUGAUGAUCAGGUGGUAGAUGAAUCUGUAAAAUUGGGUGAGAAAAUUGGAGCUUUAUCGAAACUGGCGGUUGCUAUAGCCAGAGAGGCAGUCAACCAAUCUCAAGAAUUGCCUCUCAGUGAGGGUCUAAAAUUUGAGAGAAGAGUAUUUCAAAGUAGCUUUGCCACUAAUGACAGAAAAGAAGGAAUGAAAGCUUUCGUUGAGAAGAGAAAAGCUAACUUUACUGACAGUUGAGACACAGAUAACGUGGUUCCAGUUCAGUGUAUGUGACCUCUUGAUACCACUGUAAUAGUAGUAUUAUCAACGGGUCCAAGCCACCAGCAUGGGGUUACUUGUUGAACACUCCACUUUGGCAGACACCCUCAUUUGAUAAUCACUUACUGGUCUAAUGCCGAAACAACAUAAAUGCAAGACAAUAGAUAAAUAUAUAGGCAGGAGAUAGCGUUGUGAAUGCUGUUGUGAAUGCUGUGUAACGAGAAAUGUUAGUGUGGUCUUUUUUGUGUGAAGCUUUAGAGAUGCUUUGAAAUGUUUCUUUCAGUUUACAUACAUACAUACACAUACAUGCACAACAGAUUAAAUUAAUUAAGAGAUUGUACAAUGUGUCAUAGCUAGGCUAUCUAGAAGAAUAG